rnacentral:rRNA from 1 species
AUUGAACGCUGGCGGCAGGCUUAACACAUGCAAGUCGAGCGGGGUGAUGGUGCUUGCACUAUCACUUAGCGGCGGACGGGUGAGUAAUGCUUAGGAAUCUGCCUAUUAGUGGGGGACAACAUCUCGAAAGGGAUGCUAAUACCGCAUACGUCCUACGGGAGAAAGCAGGGGAUCACUUGUGACCUUGUGCUAAUAGGUGAGCCUAAGUCGGAUUAGCUAGUUGGUGGGGUAAAGGCCUACCAAGGCGACGAUCUGUAGCGGGUCUGAGAGGAUGAUCCGCCACACUGGGACGGAGACACGGCCCAGACUCCUACGGGAGGCAGCAGUGGUGAAUAUUGGACAAUGGGGGGAACCCUGAUCCAGCCAUGCCGCGUGUGUGAAGAAGGCCUUAUGGUUGUAAAGCACUUUAAGCGAGGAGGAGGCUUACCUAGUUAAUACCUGGGAUAAGUGGACGUUACUCGCAGAAUAAGCACCGGCUAACUCUGUGCCAGCCGCCGCCGUAA